rnacentral:rRNA from 1 species
UACGGAGGGUGCGAGCGUUGUCCGGAAUCACUGGGUGUAAAGGGCGCGUAGGUGGCCCGGCAAGCGUGCGGUGAAAGUUCGAGGCUCAACUUCGAAUCGGCCGUGCGAACUGCUGGGCUGGAGCACUGUAGAGGCAGAUGGAAUUCCGGGUGUAGCGGUGGAAUGCGUAGAGAUCGGGAAGAACACCCGUGGCGAAGGCGACGUGCUGGGCUGCACCUGACG